GCAAAGAAAUGUGCCACGACGAGUUCUACGACAAUGAUGAGAAAAAGUAAUUUUCUACACGGUCAUUGAUUCCUCAUCGUUCACAUCUGGAAGCCGUGAAUGCAAUUGGCAUCGGAUACUUCCACCGGUAACCUAUAUACCUACC